rnacentral:rRNA from 1 species
AUUGAACGCUGGCGGAAUGCUUUACACAUGCAAGUCGAGCGGCAGCGCGGCCUUCGGGCUGGCGGCGAGCGGCGAACGGGUGAGUAAUGCAUCGGAACAUGCCCAGUCGUGGGGGAUAACACUUCGAAAGAAGUGCUAAUACCGCAUACGUCCUGAGGGGGAAAGCGGGGGAUCGCAAGACCUCGCGCGAUUGGAGUGGCCGAUGUCAGAUUAGCUAGUUGGUGGGGUAAAGGCCUACCAAGGCGACGAUCUGUAGCUGGUCUGAGAGGAUGAUCAGCCACACUGGGACUGAGACACGGCCCAGACUCCUACGGGAGGCAGCAGUGGGGAAUUUUGGACAAUGGGGGCAACCCUGAUCCAGCCAUUCCGCGUGAGUGAAGAAGGCCUUCGGGUUGUAAAGCUCUUUCGGCAGGAACGAAACGGUGGGCUCUAACAUAGUCCGCUAAUGACGGUACCUGAAGAAGAAGCACCGGCUAACCACGUG